AUUGAACGCUGGCGGCAUGCUUUACACAUGCAAGUCGAACGGUAACAGGCCGCAAGGUGCUGACGAGUGGCGAACGGGUGAGUAAUGCAUCGGUACGUGCCCAGUCGUGGGGGAUAACUACUCGAAAGAGUAGCUAAUACCGCAUACGAUCUAUGGAUGAAAGCGGGGGACCGUAAGGCCUCGCGCGAUUGGAGCGGCCGAUGUCAGAUUAGGUAGUUGGUGGGGUAAAGGCUCACCAAGCCAACGAUCUGUAGCUGGUCUGAGAGGACGACCAGCCACACUGGGACUGAGACACGGCCCAGACUCCUACGGGAGGCAGCAGUGGGGAAUUUUGGACAAUGGGCGCAAGCCUGAUCCAGCAAUGCCGCGUGCAGGAAGAAGGCCUUCGGGUUGUAAACUGCUUUUGUACGGAACGAAACGGCUCUGGUUAAUACCCGGGGCUAAUGACGGUACCAUAAGAAUAAGCACCGGCUAACUACGUG
rnacentral:rRNA from 1 species